UGUUAAAAAAUUUAUUCAUUUGUAUUGUUAAAAAUUAACUUGGUUGAUAGAAUAACUAAACAAUGACGCUUGGCAUGCCACGUGUCCCUCAUGCUGAUGUGCAAUGACUGGGUAGUAGAAAUAGAUGAAAUUUUUAAUA
rfam:Gossypium arboreum cultivar AKA8401 contig_56800_1, whole genome shotgun sequence.